rnacentral:rRNA from 1 species
UAUGUGAUCGUCUCUCGCAUAUCAAUAAGCGGAGGAAAAGAAACUAACAAGGAUUCCCCUAGUAACGGCGAGUGAAGCGGGAAGAGCUCAAAUUUGAAAUCUUAAAGGGUUUCCCUUUACGAAUUGUAGUUUAAAGAAGUGUUUUCUGUUGAGGUUUUGGUAAAAGUUCUUUGGAAUAGGACAUCAUAGAGGGUGAGGAUCCCGUAUUUGACCUUUACUUUCAACUUUGUGAUACACUUUCAAAGAGUCGGAUUGUUUGGGAAUGCAGUCCAAAAUGGGUGGUAAAUUUCAUCUAAAGCUAAAUAUUGGCGAGAGACCGAUAGCGAACAAGUACCGUGAGGGAAAGAUGAAAAGAACUUUGAAAAGAGAGUUAAACAGUACGUGAAAUUGUCAAAAGGGAAGCGUUUGACACCAGUGUUGUUUUUCUGAAAAUCAAUUAAAGAACUGUUUAUGCUAAGCUGUUUAGACUUUAUCAGCUAACUGUUUAGUUUUGAGCUUUUCUUUAAUGCACUUUUCAGUUAACAAGUCAACAUCAAUUUCUUUUGCUGUAAAAAAGCUUGAGGAAGGUGGCUUGAGAUUCGUCUUAAGUGUUUAUAGCCUCUUGCCUAUGCAGUCGGAGAGAUUGAGGUCUGCAGCGUAGAUCCUUCGGGGCUAAAUGCAUUUGUGCUAAGUUAUAGCAUUUUAUAGACAACUUGUUGACUAUGAUUUGUCUUGUAGCUUACUCGCUUAUGUUAUUUUACCUACGCUUAGGAUGUUGAGUAGCGACAUACGCAC